rnacentral:rRNA from 1 species
UACGUAGGGCGCAAGCGUUGUCCGGAAUUAUUGGGCGUAAAGAGCUCGUAGGCGGCUUGUCACGUCGGGUGUGAAAGCCCGGGGCUUAACCCCGGGUCUGCAUUCGAUACGGGCUAGCUAGAGUGUGGUAGGGGAGAUUGGAAUUCCUGGUGUAGCGGUGGAAUGCGCAGAUAUCAGGAGGAACACCGAUGGCGAAGGCAGAUCUCUGGGCCGUAACUGACGCUGAGGAGCGAAAGCAUGGGGAGCGAACAGG